AGAUUGUUGUAUCCUCAAACUACUAAACUUCAUUUUACACUGAGUGUCACCACGGAACUUGCUUUCUUCCACUGGGACUCUGAAGAGAGAAAGGAAUUUGCCUGUUAUUUAUAAAUAUUUACAAAUACUUAGAAAUUACAUUACCUGCAAGACCUAAACUUUUGCAUGAGGCGUAUAGGUGAUCUAAUACUAAUGAGAAUUCCUUGUGUUCUGCAUUUUUAUAUGAAAUUCUGCUUUAAUAACUGUACAUAUCUAUGACACCAAUAUGCAGUUGACACUUGGCUCUAGUCCCCUACAUAUUAUUUAUUCAGCAUCAUUAGCAUCAAAACAACCUUCUGUGAAUGUUUCUGUUGCAAAUGUGCAACCUGAGGGUUAAAUUUGCAUAAAGACACGUGUAGGAGUGAUGGAAAAGAACAUAAACUACUACAGUGCUUUGCCUUUUAUAUAUUCUUGGGAUGGAUUAGUACAAAGGCUGACCCCUUAGGCUUGCCUUAUCUCACUCUGUGAAUUUGGAUUAUCAAGAAUAAAUGGGAACAGAAUUCUCAUAAUGUGUAUGAUGAGACAAUGUUUUAUUUAGGGCUCAAAAUAAUGUAUUACUCAUACAAAUCCUCUCUUCUGGGAAACGUGCUGGGUAUUUUCUGUAUGUACCAGAGGUCACAUCUCUCCUGACUGCAUGUUAAGGGAUGAUGCAAGAGUUCUGGACAUUAUUUUUUUCCUGGUAAUACCCUACCUGCUUGGUAAGGAAAAAGAUGCAGAAAUAUGUUGGCAGAGGGUUGUUUUGUUCUUCUUGCCUCACAGUGUGAUAGACUGAUACUGAAACCAUUGGAUAUUUUGAUGUGGCUUGUGAGCUAACUUUUGAAGUGGUUGAUGUGUGCAUGCUAAGUCAUCAAUUAAGAGUAAUUAAGUAUGUACUUGAAUUUAGUAGAAGUGCUGAACAUUUGAUGUGGAAUUAGGUAUUUUGAUGGAUGGAGGUUUUUCUGAACAAAAUUAAUUCAGAGUCAUGAGCAGCGAUAUUUAUGCAACACUUGAUUUUUUCAUUAGUCUUUUCACUGAUGUUUAGCUAAUGUCUCUGACAGGCCUUUUUCAAUGACUCAAUUCUAUGCUUUAUAAGCUGUUGCUUCUGAGGAGUCAGUGGAAUUCCUCCUGUGUUUAGCAUUUAAGGCCUUCUGGCUCAGGGCUGGAUGAACACUUGAGGCACUUGCACUGUUUAAUUGAGCCCUGUGUUAGAUUUGUGGAGCUGCUUCCAAUUGCUGAAGAAUCAAAUGAAGAUUUAAUUGUAGCUGAAACCUGAGCUCUUCUGUGAGUCGCCUCAGCAGAAAGGAAAAUAAUUUAUCUGUGUUGUGUCACAACUGUAUGCGUGCACCAUAUGGCUUGAUGGUAUAUUCAGGGAAGCUGUGUGGUGAUUUCUAAAAUAUUUCCUUUUCUUUCCUCAAACCUUGAAUAUUGAUUAUUUUUCUAAAUGUGUUCUAAAGCAGUGGACAUUGAACAUCCCCAAAGGGCUUCAUUUUAGCUGUGAUCCAGUGGGGGCUGUCUCAGUUUGUGACUAGAAAUCAGCAGAAAAGCACAUACCAGUGCUUGUUGUCCUUUCCCCUUCCCUGCUUCCCUUUCAGAAUCUGUCUUUCACAUAAUCUUUUCUUAUUGAACCUGUUAAAUGUUUGCAUCAACAUGAAAUGAAGAGAAAUGAAUGUUUGUUUAUUGGCAGACACCACAUCUUGACAAUGAAUUGGGACAGUAACCAGCACUGGAUAAAAAGGGAAUGUGAAUCCAGUGCUUCCAUGAGGUAUUUCUUUCAGCCUUAUUAUAGCUCCUGUUUUUGUACUGGACUGGCCAGUGUAACACUAUAUUGCAAUGAGCCUUUUGUAGUCUGUUCUAACUGGCAGCAGUAUUUUAAAUGGCCUGGAAGCUCCUUUUGCAAAGAGAAUUAUCUGUCCCACUAUCACUUCACAGGGAACUGUUGUUGGGAAUACUGAGAUCUGGUAUCAGCUUUGUUAACUACGUGGGGGUAAAGAAUUAUGCUUUUGGAAAAACUCAUCUGUAACAUAUUCAGCAUAUCAGACAGGAUCUUAAAUACUUUUUUUUUUCCCUCCCAUAUACCUUCUACUAAUCAGUUGUAGAAUACUUGCAAAUUCACAGCAGUUUUUUCCUUUGGUGAUUACUUCAAUACUUCUGAAUAUUGGAUUUUUUUGGGGGUGACACUGCUGGCUUAUUGCUCUUUUUGUAACCUAUCUCUCAGUGUGGGUAACUGCUUGUAAACUAAAUAUUUAACAUGUUGCUGUAAUGAGUUAUUUCCACUGCUUCAGGCACAUAAUUAAACCUGGGUGUCCAUUUUCAGCAUCUCAGCUUUAUGCCUAUUUACAGCUAUCUUUGUUCUUCUUAAAAACUGCCAAUGAAGUAGUAGCCCUAAAACAUAUUGUUCAACUGUGACACAGUAAGUAUUCUUCAUUUAUAUUGUUGUCUCCUGUUUCAUGCCUAAUUUGCAAUUUUUAACCCUUUUUCCCCCCAAGUACAUGCUGAUGUCUUUAAUUGGCAUUUGUUUCUUUUUGUUUGAAAAUCACUGAGUGUUGUUCAUCCUUUCUUCUGUUCCCCCUGAAUUUGUAAGCACUGUUUUCACAAUGGAAUUCAUGUGGAUGCAGCCAAACUGUUCUCUAUUUUUUUUCCAAUAUUAUUCUUUCCUACCUGUGCCACAUCAGUGAAGGUUCUCACCUCAUUCCACCAGCAUUUUUCAUUAGCUGUUGAGUGUUCUCCCUGUGUCAGAGGAAUGGGACACCUGCUGCCCAAGAGACACUGUGAAAGGCAGGUUACCAUUUACAGCCUGUAGUCCUGUGUUAUAACAAACAUUUCACUGUGCUGCAGAAAAAGAGAGGAACUGAAAACCUUGUAUGCAAAACCUAAAGGUAGUUUCCCUCUUUAUAAAAAGACAAAGCUGAGCUUUUUAAUGAUUAAGAGUCUUGGGGGAUUUUUUGUUUUUUCUACCCUCAUGGUUUAUUUAUGGAUCUGCUAUUUGCAUCUUUGUUUAUACUGUUUGGAAAGGAGACGGUUUUUUAAUUUUUUACAUCCACUUCGUGCUUUUGUGGCCAUCUCUGUGUAAAACCAAAUAAAGCAGUAGGUCAGUGUUCUUUCUGUCAUGUAUUAUAUAAACUCCCCAUUCACAUUAAAGGGUUCCUGUGCAUUUAUUUUAAUUGAAAUGACUUAUCAUUGACACUUCCUUUACUUUAGACAUCUUGUUUGGAAUGAUUGCUUUAGGAAAUUGGUGGGAGAGUGGUUAUUCUUGCUAAAGUUAAAUAUUUGUUAGAACCAAAUAUUCUAAUUUGUUUCUGCAAGAAUUUAAAAUUUAUUUGAAAUCAAAUGGGUAUUUUAAAUUUGCAGUAAUGUGAAGGAGUGGGCCUGAAACUUUGAUGGCAGGAAAGGACAAUUCACUUUUAUAUCAUGUACCAUGGUUCAAAAGGACAGUGUGAUAACCAAAAACCUCUAAGCUACAACUGUCCUGGUGGAAUAUGGUACAAGAAUGCUCUAGCAGGAAGGAAAUUACAGCUUAUAAAGUGCAGCAUCUCUGGUUAUGAAAUAAAGCCUCACUUCCCAAAUCCACUGCUAGUAAGGGGAAAUUUGUGAUAGAUCAAGCUCUUUAUGUGGGAUUCUUUUCCCAGUGAGGGCUUUGCUCUGUCCCAGUGUUCCAAUGAUCUCUUGUCUCAGUAAAAAGAUAAUGCAUAAGCAGGAUUAUUUGAUAUUCCAUCAAAACAUCCUGCAAAAUAUCCCCUGUGGGAAGACACCAGAGUGGUAAAAUAAUGCCUGUAGGCAGAUGAGGAGAGUGGGGGCACGAGAUGGAUGUGAUGGGAAAUUCAGGCUUUUUCUCAAAAUUCAGAAGGGCCCUUGGGAAAUGUUCACAGAGUGGCAGAAAAUGCAUUUGGGGGAAGGCUAAAAGCUUAGAUGAUACAAUCUGUAUAUUUGUCCCUUACUCUGAAUGAUCAGAGUGAUUCUUGUACAAGGAUCUUCUAAUAAACAUUUUCUCCACCUCUCAGGUUGUUCAGGAAGGUUAAUACAUGUAUAACUGUACAGAGAACAGAGCACACCCAGAGAUAUCUGUUCCUUCUGUGUGUUUUCUCCUUUCCUUGGAAGGGCCCCGUGUGUUUGCCCUGCCAGGAGGUUCUGCAGCUGCUCAAAGUGCAGUUUCAUAAUCAGCUUAACGUGGCCUGAGAGUGAGCUGGCAGCAGAAUGGCAAAUCCUGUGCUCCCGGAUACUUUGGGAUGUGUUCCCAUUCCUCCUCCAGUGACGGCUGGAGCACUUGUGUGGCUGUGCUGUGUGUCACACUGCUCUGCUGAGUCAACUAAACAAUUUUUUGGGAAAAAAAAUCUCACCAGAGAAAAUUCACCCAUUCACUUGAUGAAUAAUCUGCUCUGAGAUGACUCAUGGGUGUCCAUGUGUCAAGGGUGAUGUUGAGAGACACGGGAAUAAUAUAUAAUAGAAUUUGAGAAGGUGUCUCAUCUCUUGGUUAUUUAUCAGUUCUGCUUAUUGUUAUAAAUCAUGACAAUUCCAGUAAAUUGGGUUCUUCAAGAGAGCUGGUUGGGGGGAACAUUAAAUUUUAUGAUGCCAUUUGCAUACUGGGAUAAAUCCAAAAUGAUUAACAUUACAGUCAAUAAAAUGUAGUAUGUAUGAACUGAAGGAUCUCUACCUUUGCAAGUAUUCAACAGUUGUGUCAAGGAACAGAUAUCUGAAUUUCUCAGUAAGUACAAAAGAAACUGAUGCCUAGUGUGUCUGUACCACUCUAUAUAUUGCUGUUUGGUGUUUCCCGUCCAUUACAGUUUGGCAUUUCUGGGUAUAAACUGAAAUGUUAACAUGUGAUCAAUUUACACCAAUUAAUAAUUUAUCUUCAGGAGUCCUUGUACUCAGUGAACUAGAAGUUCUAACAGGAAAGGUUUCAAGGUUUCCUAUAGAGGUGUUGCCAAAUAAUGGUGGUUUAGCUGAAAACCAGUUUAAUCUAGAUGUCCUCUUCCCUGUUUAAAAAGGUUCACUUGAGUCAAAAAGAAGUUGAAUGCUGUCCUUUAACCAUUAACAGGUCCAAGGCUGGGGUAUGUUUGUGAUAGGACACAAUAAAGUGUUUUCCCAGGAGCAGUUGCAAGAGGUGUUUGAUGGUGAGCAAACAGUGUGACAUUAACAGCAAGUGCCUGCACUGAGGAGCGUCAGCCUGGCCUGGCAGCACCACAAGUCCUGUGGCUACGUGAAUUCUGCCCAGGCUACAGAACCACUCUGCUUUCACCUCUUUAUGGAAAGAGUAUUUUGGUUUUUAGUUGCUGGUAUGCCCUUUAAUACAAGGCAAGACCUAAAAGCUCUUUAUUCCAUCUUUCCUUCCUUGCCUGCAGAUUGGAGGCUGUAAGAACAGACUUUAAGGCAGUGCUUAGAUGGGGUUGGUCUUGUUCCUUUCUGCCUUAAUAACCUGUCAAAACUACUAGGAAUUCACCACAGUCUUUUGCUUUAAUGACCUCCUGCAGUUGAUUUUCUUUUCCAUAUAUUUUCUCUCACCAGUCAAAAAAAUUCACCAGUAUACUUACUUUUCUGUUUGAUAAACAUACAGGCCUCCUGUGUAUAGGAAAUGAUUUUAAUUACCUUGUCUAUGUGUAAAAAAUACUGUCUGUCCUGGAAAUCCUUUGGAGUUAGAUAUACAGUACAGGGUUCUUCUUUAUGCUGUGUUUAUAACUUUAUAACUCCCUCAGACUGUAUGCAGCAAUUAAAGUUCUUGAUAGUUAUAAUGUCUGUUUAUCCACAUCUGUGGUAAGUUGUGCAAGCUCUUAUCUGCUAACAACACAGAUGUGUCUUCAUUCAUGUAAAGUUACCUUUCUCAUUAUUUACAGCCUUAUUUCUGAAGCCAUGACUUCCUUUAUUUCUAUAUUUUACUGUGGUUCAAAGCACCACUUAUGCUUUCUAAAAAAGCCACCACAUGACACACUCCAGUCCUAUUCUAAUCUUUUUUCUUGUAGGGUCAGUGAUUCUCAGUCAGUGUGAGAUGCUGAAAUGCUGGAGCAUGAAAUUCCCAGCACUUACAAUAUGUGUGUGAAAUUAUGUAGAAAAAACAGGGAUUCAAGAAAUAGCAGUGGCGUGGAGCAGUGGUGUUGUCCUGAUAUGAAAAAAUAAUCCCAAAGCUUGAAAAUUUGAAUGAUGUGAGUUACAUAAGUGCAUUCCAUUUCUGCUGGUCUGAGUAUAAUAAAAGUAUGAAACUAAAUCCUAUUUAAACAUAAUUCUAUCUUUUGGAACUGAAAAUGGUGUUGUAGUUUAAAACAAAUAGUAUUUUGUAGCACAAUUUCACUGUCAUAUUAUCAAGUCCAUUUAAUAUUUUUGGACUCAUUGGCUUGAAUUUGUGAUUUUUAAACCUGAUUUCUCUGGGAGAUGUUUCUAGGUCACAGGAUAGGAUCUUUUGUGUCAUGAUUAUUCUUUUCAUAAAGAACAAAAUAUCCUUUCUUUUAUAUAGAAGUCUUUCAUUUUAGGAACGAGGAGAACUAAGAUGUACCUAUUAUAGCAAAAAUCUUUCUCAUGAGCUUACAAGAUCUUUGUAUUAUUGGCACCCAAUUUUAUCACAAGUCUCGGGUAAUGCUGUUUUUUUUCCUUCAGAUGUGGAUUUAAUGAACUUUUUAUAGCAAAGAAUGUUAACAUUAAAUACUCACCUGAUAAUUUUUUUUCUCCUCCUCAAAAGUAAGUGAACUGUGGACUGUUCUUAUAAUUUCAUUCUCAUUCCCUGGUGAACUUACAAAUGUCAAAAGAUGGCAAAUUAGAAAGUCCAGUGUUGAUGUCUUCCUGCUAUCAAAGUAUCCUGAGAAACAGGGAUUGUGCCAUGAAGCACAAUGCAGUUUUUCUGAGAAAAAGAGAUUUCAGGCUUGUGAUGCUCUCCCAGCUCCUUCAUGUGACAUCAAAAAAAAGAACUGCUGAGGGGAUGAAGUGGGGGCUGGAGAACUGAAGGUACUAUUACAUUAUGCAUUCCCGCUGCAGUUUUAAACUCCUUUAUUUACAUACUGAAAUACCACGGGAUACCUGGCCAUCUGCUGAGAUCCCCAGGUGGAUUUUGCAGGUCACUGAGCUCUGUGCUUGCAGACCUCAAGGUAUCUAAUUAAAACCCAUCCAGGUAUGUCCACACCAGCUGUAGUUAUACCACCUGAUGGGGAAUUCCAGUUAAGCAAUACCUGAAUGUCAUAAACGGCACUAAAGCUUCUGAUACUGCAGUCCAAGCAUGUUGUAGAUAACACCUGAAAUGAGUAAUAAGACCUGAUAAUGCAGGGAGAAGUAAUAUAUGUUAAAUAGGCUUUCGUCCCUCCAGGUUUAAGUUUCACCAGUGUAUUUUCAGAGCACAGCCUCAAACUGCCCAAGUGGUAAUUCUGCACCUUGGAAUACUGGAGGAAAAGGUGGAGGGGUAAGUGCCCUGCUAGAGAGGAGGAAUAUGUUAAAACUUGGUGCCCUCAGUGCUGUUUACCCAUGCACUCAAACCUCCACUUUAUUUUUAACUCUGUAGGGGUAUGCAUUUUUCAGGUCUGUGAAAGAAUGUGCUGUGCUAGAGUUCCUUUUAAAAUUGAGACAAAUUAGUUGUGCCAUUGCACAACAAUACAUUGGUAUUAUUUCUCUAUGUAUUUCUUGAUGUAAGCCUAAUAAGUGUUCAAAUACUAUUUCCCUGAAGUACAGUUAUUUUUAAAUGAAAGUUUCAUAAAUACCACAACCUUACAGUCCUGAGUGAAAUUUCUUUAUAACACUCUUAAAAGUCAGAAUAAUAUGGUUAAUUCUUGUAUUUUAGAUAUGCAUUUCUAGUAACACAACAUAGAGAAACUCUGCAAACUCAGGUAACAGAAACCUACUUUAAAGACACCAUCAUUAUUUUCAUCAUAUUCAUUUAUCAAAUGGCUAAAAGAUCAAGAAUUCCUUUUUCAUGUAAAACUGUAUAGUAUGGUAAAAAAAGGAAAAGUGAUUGUUAGUAUUUUAGCACAUAUUUUGUUUAACCCCCAUUUUUUAGUGAAAUUGGAUGAUGUAUUUAAGUUACACCACACACAUUUAAAAAAAAAUAAAUCAAUGACUCAUUGCAGAUUUAUGCAAGUUUUAUUUUCAGCCUUCUAGGUGCAUCUUCUCUCUCUGUAAAAAAGGGAGAGUUUACUUCACUUUGACUUUCUUUAGAAAAGCUGCAAUAGCGAGUCAAGUUUGGGUACUAUCCAAAUUAUACAAAUGUGUUCAUUAUACAGAGGAAAGCUUCUGAGUGUUAAUUACCUCCUUUUGUGUCAGCCUGGGCCCUGUCAUGAAGAGCCUUGUGAGGAAGCAGGAAAGAAAAGGGGGAAUUUCAGAGAGGGAUUGUUUUAAAAUGGUCAUUGAAGGGUAAGUUUUGCUGCAUGUGGUCAAGUCAGUCAUAAAAAUUACUAGAUUAAGGGUUCUAGAAUUUAAUCCUGGGCAUGUGAUAGUGCAUUUGGAUGUUUAGAUUUUCUAUUUAUCGUAAAUCAAGUAUGUGUAUAUUCAUACUUGGGAAAACAGCUUAGUGUUUAGUUUUUAUGUUACACAGACACUGAUCUUUCUGCUUGUAACAUUAGGUCUUUGAAUGACCUGGUGUACUGGAGCACAAGGCUAAUUAAACAGACACUCGACUGCAAGAUCAACAUCUAUAAAAUUCAAACCAGUGUAGCUGGAAACUGUGUCUGAAAAGACAUUGGGAGGGACUGCCCAGGUGGAUGGUGGAGUCACUGGGAGCGACUGGAGCUGUUCAAGGAAAGACUGGAUGUGGCAUUUAGUGACGGGUUUAUAACGUGGUGACUGGUUUUAAGUUGGACUUGAUGGUCUUGGAGGUCUUUUCCAGCCGAAUCAAUUCUGUGAAACGCAGUCCCAGAGGGGUCAGAACCUUCCCUAUUUUGGGUGUUGGACCAUGCACAGAGCCUCUGCUGUGAGCUCAUCUUCCUCACGCGCGGUGCCCAAAACUACAGACAGGGCUGCUGAAGGCGAGACCGUUGCAGAGCAACCCCCUCCUUUGACCGGCCGUUCCCGGAGGCCGAAGACGCUUUUCCGCCGCCGGUUCUGCCCGCGCGGCGCCUGAGGGCUCCCGCUGCCCCG